rnacentral:rRNA from 1 species
AUUCCAGCUCCAAUAGCGUAUAUUAAAGUUGUUGCAGUUAAAAAGCUCGUAGUUGGAUUUCUGGUUAGAUGCGCCUGGCCCGCCGACGUUCAGUCGUGUGAAGUGCUGGUGCGCAACUGCCAUCCUUCUAGAGAAGGGACCAACGGUUCAUUCCGGUUCGGUUCACAAUCUAGAUCUUUUACUUUGAAAAAAUUAGAGUGUUUAAAGCAGGCUUUUGCUAUGAAUACAUUAGCAUGGAAUAAUAAUUUAGGACUCUGUUUCUAUUUUGUUGGUUUCCGGAAACGGAGUAAUGAUUGAUAGGGAUAGUCAGGGGCACUCGUAUUCCGCCGAGAGAGGUGGAAUUCUCAGACCAGCGGAAGACGAACCACUGCGAAAGCAUUUGCCAGGGAUGUUUUCAUUA